rnacentral:tRNA from 1 species
UGGGCAGAAGCCCGACGGUUCAGGCAUUUGGCUGUUAACUAAACAUUCGCAGGAUCAAAACCUGCCUGUCCAG